rnacentral:rRNA from 1 species
UACGGAAGGGGCAAGCGUUGUUCGGAUUCAUUGGGCGUAAAGGGUGCGUAGGCGGCGCGGUAAGUCGGAUGUGAAAUCUCGGGGCUUAACUCCGAAACUGCAUUCGAUACUGCCGUGCUUGAGGACUGGAGAGGAGACUGGAAUUUACGGUGUAGCGGUGAAAUGCGUAGAUAUCGUAAGGAAGACCAGUGGCGAAGGCGGGUCUCUGGACAGUUCCUGACGCUGAGGCACGAAGGCCAGGGGAGCAAACGGG